CCUACGGGUGGCAGCAGUGAGGAAUAUUGGUCAAUGGGCGCUAGCCUGAACCAGCCAAGUAGCGUGAAGGAUGACUGCCCUAUGGGUUGUAAACUUCUUUUAUAUGGGAAUAAAGUGCAGUACGUAUACUGCUUUGCAUGUACAUUAUGAAUAAGGAUCGGCUAACUCCGUGCCAGCAGCCGCGGUAAUACGGAGGAUCCGAGCGUUAUCCGGAUUUAUGGGGUUUAAAGGGAGCGUAGGCGGGUUGUUAAGUCAGUUGUGACAGUUUGCGGCUCAACCCGGGCCUUGCAGCGCGAACUGGCGUGCUUGAGUCCGCGGAAAGCAGGCGGAAUUCGUCGUGUAGCGGUGAAAUGCUUAGAUAUGACGAAGAACCCCGAUUGCGAAGGCAGCUUGCUGCAGCGGAACUGACGCUGAUGCUCGAAAGCGCGGGUAUCGAACAGGAUUAGAUACCCCUGUAGUC
rnacentral:rRNA from 1 species